rnacentral:rRNA from 1 species
GACGAACGCUGGCGGCGUGCCUAAUACAUGCAAGUUGAGCGCUGAAGGUUGGUACUUGUACCAACUGGAUGAGCAGCGAACGGGUGAGUAACGCGUGGGGAAUCUGCCUUUGAGUGGGGGACAACAUUUGGAAACGAAUGCUAAUACCGCAUAAAAACUUUAAACACAAGUUUUAAGUUUGAAAGAUGCAAUUGCAUCACUCAAAGAUGAUCCCGCGUUGUAUUAGCUAGUUGGUGAGGUAAAGGCUCACCAAGGCGAUGAUACAUAGCCGACCUGAGAGGGUGAUCGGCCACAUUGGGACUGAGACACGGCCCAAACUCCUACGGGAGGCAGCAGUAGGGAAUCUUCGGCAAUGGACGAAAGUCUGACCGAGCAACGCCGCGUGAGUGAAGAAGGUUUUCGGAUCGUAAAACUCUGUUGGUAGAGAAGAACGUUGGUGAGAGUGGAAAGCGCAUCAAGUGACGGUAACUACCCAGAAAGGGACGGCUAACUACGUG